CCUACGGGAGGCAGCAGUGGGGAAUAUUGCACAAUGGGGGAAACCCUGAUGCAGCGACGCCGCGUGAAGGACGAAGUAUUUCGGUACGUAAACUUCUAUCAGCAGGGAAGAAAAUGACGGUACCUGACCAAGAAGCCCCGGCUAACUACGUGCCAGCAGCCGCGGUAAUACGGAGGAUGCGAGCGUUAUCCGGAUUUAUUGGGUUUAAAGGGUGCGUAGGCGGGCAUUUAAGCCGGCGGUCAAAUGUCGGGGCUCAACCCCGGCCUGCCGUCGGAACUGGGUGCCUUGAGUGGGCGAGAAGUAUGCGGAAUGCGUGGUGUAGCGGUGAAAUGCAUAGAUAUCACGCAGAACCCCGAUUGCGAAGGCAGCAUACCGGCGCCCUACUGACGCUGAGGCACGAAAGUGCGGGUAUCGAACAGGAUUAGAUACCCGGGUAGUC
rnacentral:rRNA from 1 species